GGAUUAGAUACCCUGGUAGUCCACGCUGUAAACGAUGCAUACUAGGUGUUGGCCUGUAUUGGGCCAGUGCUGCAGUUAACGCAUUAAGUAUGCCACCUGGGGAGUACGUCGGCAACGAUGAAACUCAAAGGAAUUGACGGGGGCCCGCACAAGCGGUGGAGCAUGUGGCUUAAUUCGAUGCAACGCGAGGAACCUUACCUGGGCUAAAUCCACAACGCUACCUCUGGAAACAGAGGGUCCCUUCGGGGCGUUAUGGAAGGUGCUGCAUGGCUGUCGUCAGCUCGUGCCG
rnacentral:rRNA from 1 species